AUAAAGUUUCUUCCCUGUUUACCAAUGGGGAGCAGGCACUUGCUUUGCUUUAGGAAAUAACGUUUCUUUUGAACCUUUAUUCAUUGGAAACUGAUACUAAAGAAAAACAGAAAACCUUUCCUUAUGCUUUUGGAAAAUAAUUAAUGGUCCUCAAAGACCGUUAAAGCGAACAAAAAAUUUGUAUAAUCUCUAUAUUUUUAAUGUAUAGUCACUUCAGAUCUGAGGGAUAUAAAUACCUGAAGAAAGAAAAUCCUCUGAGCCAUUUUAUUUUUUUACAUUUAAAAUGAUUUCUUGAGUUCACGUCAAUAUUAACUUUAUGAACUCCUCAUAUUCUGAUGUAUUUGUUGAAGAGGAAACCCCGCACCCUCCCUUCCCCUCCGGGAGAGACUUGCUUUCUGAUUUGCCCUCACAUCUGCAUUUACCGGAGGAACAGAUGCUCCGCUUCCAAGGGUCGCAGACCACUUACUCUAGACCUCACGACUAGUUCUGAAGAGUAUGGAGCCUACAUAGAUUCAUAAGUUGCUCUUUGCUCACUUGAUGAAAAUGUUUUGCUUUUUUUAAAUUGGCAAAGUGGAAAAUUGAAGAGCCGUUGAGAAAAAUAAACCCAAUUCUUCAUGUGAACAAUUGUCUCACGCUGAUGUCUUGAAACCAGAAAGCUUUCUGCUAUUUAUUUACCAGAGAUGAGUACAGAUCAUUUCAUUGUGCAUCGAUUUUCUCUAAGGAGGGAGGAAGUGUGGUCAGCUAAACAAGACACUGAAAUGGGGAAUCAGCAGCCACAACUCCUAUUGUCAUCUCCAGCUGCAGAAUUUGCUCAGACUCUUAGAAACUCACUUGAUUGCUAUGAUCCUGGUUUUUUGGUUUGUUUCUUUUUUUGUUUCCUUUGGUUGUUUUGUUUUUUUAAUCAACAAGAUCGAACUUAUAGAUUAAAUUCUUUGAGUUCUUUUGUUGGGUUAUUUUAAUUGGUCUGGUCUAUACACAAUAUAUUGAUAAAAUGAGAGCCAAUACAAUUGGACACCAUUCAGGAAUAGAAUCAUUCCACAUUCAUGUAGCCAAAUGUUUACUGGGAGCCUACUGUCUACUGGGCACUGAGCUGGGCAUUGCAUAGUGUAUUUGCUCCUUACAUCACGAGACAAUUAUGAAACUGACAUUAUGUGCAAAUAUAAACUUCCCAGAAGAUCAAUACUAUAUGAAUUAAGAAUAAUUAUCCAAAAAAAGAUCACUACACUUUAAAUACAAAGAACUCCUUUAUUUUUGAAAAACACUUGUUAAACACAUAAAAAAUUUCAAAUUCCUUAACCUGUUUUUAUUCUGUUUUCAAAUUACUGUUUUUAAAUUUGUGAAAUAUGUCCAUUGUACACAUUUGGAAACUUGGUAUACUUAUUUGUGUAUUUACAUAUGUAUAUGCUUAUGCUGGAAACACAUAUAUCUGUGCCUUUCAAAUUAUAAAUUAGAACUCACAGUAACACUGUUUCAAAUUAAAAUUAUUUCACCCUCAUUAGGAGGGAACCUGCUAUUUUUUUCUAUUAUCAAGUUUUUUUAUGCCAGUUCUGUCUUCUUGGUUACAGUGAAAGAUUAAAAAUAAAUAGAUAAAUAAAAUGUCCUUUUCAAAUUGUUAGUUUUAUAUUCAUGCUGUUUUUUUCGUUUAUCAUUGAAAAUGUUUUUAGGAUUGGAUGUUUAACAAGAAAUUCUGUGACUUGUGCUAGAUUUUAUUUAUAUUUUGCUCUUUACACCUAUAUUAGAUAUGAAUCUAGUUAAGCUAUUAUAACAGAGAAACUCCAAAACACAGAAGCUCAUACGAGAUAAAAGUUUAUUCUGUCUCACAUAACAGUUUAGACUGGCAGGACUGUUGGUGUAUGGCAGCUGUACAGUGUCAGGGGCCCAGGCUCCCUCUGUCUAAUUGCUCUGCUAUCCUCAACUCUGUCUUUCAUCUCCUGACCCAAUGUGGCUGCUGCAGCUCCAGCCAUUAUGUUUGCCUGCAGCCAGCAGGAAAAGAGAAAGGGGUAAAGGAAUGCAUACUCCUUUCUUUUGAAAGCAUAAACUGAGAUUUUCACAUAUAACUUCUGAAAUGAUCCAUGGCAGAUGUUCAGGCACACCCACACUGGAAGACAUGAUGAGGUCAUGCGAUGCCUGCACAUAUACACAGGUUCUCUGAACAUAACAGCGAACAGCAAAAGUGCAACCUCAGACCAGGACACUGUGUUAUGCUGAGGCAGCAGUAUCGUGGGUGAUUUUCUGAAAUGGUAUACAACUCAGGGA
ensembl:lncRNA